rnacentral:lncRNA from 1 species
UAUUAGCUUCCCUAGUAAUGAUGAAUAUGAACCGAAAUUAGGGUAACCUUUUGUGUCAUUUUCCCUAGUCCAUGGUAAUGGAAACAUUGGUUACCCACCCAUAUUCACUUGAAAAUAUGUACCUAUUAGGGAUUUGGUGACUGGACAAGGCAUUUACACUAAGUGUACAAAGCAAAUGUGCUAACUGUACAAGUGUGUACAAGGGUGCCUAUCUUGAAGGAUUUCAAAUGCUUUUGAAAAAAUUGCUUGCUCAUUUAUUUUUUCCAAGGGGGACAUUCCUCAUUUCCCUUCGUACACAUUCAUUGGAUGAGAUAGCGCGCUUAUGAUGAAUAGGAACCUCGAUUUGGUGUCAUUUUUCCCCUUUUCAGUGAGCCAUGACAUUGGAACGUGGUUAACCUGGCCAUAUGCACUAGUUUUGUUGUAUCUAUGUGGAAUUUCUGCAAGUGUACAAGGUUUUUAAACUAAGUGUACAAGGCCAAUGUACUAAAAGUACAAGGGUGUACAAGGGUGUCUAUCUUACUUUUUCCAAACGUGGGGAACAAUCCUCACACAUGUUGCUUGAUAACACACGCAUUGCAUGCAAUUUAAUUGAUGUUUACCAUGUUCAUUCAUCCUAUUAGCUUCCCUAGUAAUGAUGAAUAUGAACCGAACUUAGGGUAACCUUUUGUGUCAUUUUCCCUAGUCCAUGGUAAUGGAAACAUUGGUUACCCACCCAUAUUCACUUGGAAAUAUGUACCUAUUAGGCAUUUGGUGACUGGACAAGGCAUUUACACUAAGUGUACAAGGCCAAUGUACUAAAAGUACAAGGGUGUACAAGGGUGUGUAUCUUACUUUUUCCAAACGUGGGGAACAAUCCUCACACAUGUUGCUUGAUAACACACGCAUUGCAUGCAAUUUAAUUGAUGUCUACCCUGUUCAUUCAUCCUAUUAGCUUCCCUAGUAAUGAUGAAUAUGUACCGAAAUUAGGGUAACCUUUUGUGUCAUUUUCCCUAGUCCAUGGUAAUGGAAACAUUGGUUACCCACCCAUAUUCACUUGGAAAUAUGUACCUAUUAGGGAUUUGGUAACUGGACAAGGCAUUUACACUAAGUGUACAAGGCUAAUGUACUAAAAGUACAAAGGUGUACAAGGGUGUCUAUCUUACUUUUUCCAAACGUGGGGAACAAUCCUCACACAUGUUGCUUGAUAACACACGCAUUGCAUGCAAUUUAAUUGAUGUCUACCAUGUUCAUUCAUCCUAUUAGCUUCCCUAGUAAUGAUGAAUAUGAACCGAAAUUAGGGUAACCUUUUGUGUCAUUUUCCCUAGUCCAUGGUAAUGGAAACAUUGGUUACCCACCCAUAUUCACUUGGAAAUAUGUACCUAUUAGGGAUUUGGUGACUGGACAAGGCAUUUACACUAAGUGUACAAGGCCAAUGUACUAAAAGUACAAGGGUGUACAAGGGUGUCUAUCUUACUUUUUCCAAACGUGGGGAACAAUCCUCACACAUGUUGCUUGAUAACACACGCAUUGCAUGCAAUUUAAUUGAUGUCUACCAUGUUCAUUCAUCCUAUUAGCUUCCCUAGUAAUGAUGAAUA